GCCUCACUGCACUCUGGAAUUGGCGCUCAAGAUCAUUGUGAACAUUUACCAUCAAUUCGCUCCUCGGGAAGGCAAGGAUGGCUUCUUGAGCCUCAAGGACAUGAUGGAGCUUCUCAAGAGCCAAGCUCCCACUUUCCUGGCAGCCUGUAACAGAAGCCGUCCAGGCUACAUGUAAGAGCUCUU